GACAGAGGGUGCAAACGUUGUUCGGAAUUACUGGGCGUAAAGCGCGUGUAGGCGGCUCGGCAAGUCGGGUGUGAAAGCCCUGGGCUUAACCUAGGAAGUGCACUCGAAACUGCCAAGCUUGAGUUCUGGAGAGGAAGGCGGAAUUCUCGGUGUAGAGGUGAAAUUCGUAGAUAUCGAGAGGAACACCGGUGGCGAAGGCGGCCUCUGGACAAAACUGGACGCUGAGACGCGAAAGCGUGGGGAGCAAACAGG
rnacentral:rRNA from 1 species